rnacentral:rRNA from 1 species
AUGCUCUCUCAAGGUUUCAAAAGGUCUAAUUAUGAUAGUUGUGUUUAUUUGAAAACUGUCAAUGGUUCAACUAUUUAUUUGCUCCUUUAUGUUGAUGAUAUGCUUAUUGCUGCAAAGAGUAUGUCAGAUAUUGAUGAACUAAAGAAGCAAUUGAGUAAUGAAUUUGAGAUGAAGGAUUUGGGUGCAGCAAAGAAAAUACUUGGCAUGGAAAUAUCCAGAGAUAGACCGUCUGGAAAAGUAUAUCUAAGUCAGAAGGGAUAUAUUGAUAAAGUUCUUCGUUGUUUUAAUAUGCAUAAUGCCAAGCCGGUGAGUACACCGUUAGCUGCACACUUCAAAUUGUCAUCAGCUUUAUGUCCUAAGUCAGAUUCAGAUAUUGAGUACAUGUCUAGAGUUCCCUAUUCAAGUGCAGUUGGUUCACUUAUGUACGCCAUGGUUUGUUCUCGUCCUGACUUAUCAUAUGCAUUGAGUGUUGUCAGUAGAUACAUGGCUAAUCCUGGAAAAGAGCAUUGGAAAGCAGUUCAGUGGAUUUUCAGAUACCUGCGUGGUACUUCUAAUGCUUAUUUACAGUUUGGGAAAACUAGAGAUGGACUUGUUGGUUUUGUUGAUUCUGAUUUUGCUGGUGAUUUGGAUAAGAGAAGAUCACUCACAGGUUAUGUUUUCACCAUUGGUGGUUGUGCUGUGAGUUGGAGAGCAACUUUGCAGUCUAUUGUGGCUUGUUCCACUACUGAUGCCGAGUAUAUGGCUAUUUCUGAGGCAUGCAAAGAAGCUAUCUGGUUGAGAGGUUUGUACAUUGAGCUUUGUGCAGAUUCAUCUUGCCCUACCAUAUUUUCUGACAGUCAAAGUGCUAUAUAUCUUACAAAGAAUCCAAUGUAUCAUGAGAGGACAAAGCACAUUGAUGUUAGAUUUCACUAUAUUCGAGAUGUUGUUGCUGAAGGUGAUUUGAAGGUAUGCAAGAUAAGUACUCAUGAUAAUCCUGCUGAUAUGAUGACAAAGCCAGUUCCUACCAAUAAGUUUGAGCUUUGCUCAGGCUUAGUUGGUAUUUCUCACUAG